AGUGAACGCUGGCGGUAGGCCUAACACAUGCAAGUCGAACGGCAGCACAGUAAGAGCUUGCUCUUACGGGUGGCGAGUGGCGGACGGGUGAGGAAUACAUCGGAAUCUACUUUUUCGUGGGGGAUAACGUAGGGAAACUUACGCUAAUACCGCAUACGACCUACGGGUGAAAGCAGGGGAUCUUCGGACCUUGCGCGAUUGAAUGAGCCGAUGUCGGAUUAGCUAGUUGGCGGGGUAAAGGCCCACCAAGGCGACGAUCCGUAGCUGGUCUGAGAGGAUGAUCAGCCACACUGGAACUGAGACACGGUCCAGACUCCUACGGGAGGCAGCAGUGGGGAAUAUUGGACAAUGGGCGCAAGCCUGAUCCAGCCAUACCGCGUGGGUGAAGAAGGCCUUCGGGUUGUAAAGCUCUGUUGUUGGGAAAGAAAAGCAGCAUGUUAAUACCCCGCUGUUCUGACGGUACCCAAUGAGUAAGCACCGGCUAACUACGUG
rnacentral:rRNA from 1 species